rnacentral:rRNA from 1 species
ACACGACUCUCGGCAACGGAUAUCUCGGCUCUCGCAUCGAUGAAGAACGUAGCGAAAUGCGAUACCUGGUGUGAGUUGCAGAAUCCCGCGAACCAUCGAGUCUUUGAACGCAAGUUGCGCCCGAGGCCAUUCGGCUGAGGGCACGCCUGCCUGGGCGUCACG